rnacentral:rRNA from 1 species
UACGGGGGGGGCAAGCGUUGUUCGGAAUUACUGGGCGUAAAGGGCGCGUAGGCGGCCUGCUAAGUCGGACGUGAAAUCCCUCGGCUCAACCGGGGAACUGCGUCCGAUACUGGUGGGCUCGAAUCCGGGAGAGGGAUGUGGAAUUCCAGGUGUAGCGGUGAAAUGCGUAGAUAUCUGGAGGAACACCGGUGGCGAAGGCGGCAUCCUGGACCGGUAUUGACGCUGAUGCGCGAAAGCCAGGGGAGCAAACAGG